rnacentral:rRNA from 1 species
UACGUAGGGUGCGAGCGUUGUCCGGAAUUAUUGGGCGUAAAGGGCUCGUAGGCGGUUUGUCGCGUCGGGAGUGAAAACACUGGGCUUAACUCAGUGCUUGCUUCCGAUACGGGCAGACUAGAGGUAUUCAGGGGAGAACGGAAUUCCUGGUGUAGCGGUGAAAUGCGCAGAUAUCAGGAGGAACACCGGUGGCGAAGGCGGGUCUCUGGGCCGUAACUGACGCUGAGGAGCGAAAGCAUGGGGAGCGAACAGG